UGGUGGCGACCGGCGCACGGGUGAGUAACGCGUAUGCAACCCAUCUAUCAGAGGGGAAUAACCCGGCGAAAGUCGGACUAAUACCGCAUAAAACAGGGACACCGCAUGGUGAUAUUUGUUAAAGAAAUUCGCUGAUAGAUGGGCAUGCGUUCCAUUAGGUAGUUGGUGAGGUAACGGCUCACCAAGCCGACGAUGGAUAGGGGAACUGAGAGGUUGGUCCCCCACACUGGUACUGAGACACGGACCAGACUCCUACGGGAGGCAGCAGUGAGGAAUAUUGGUCAAUGGGCGAGAGCCUGAACCAGUCAAGUCGCGUGAAGGAAGAAGGAUCUAUGGUUCGUAAACUUCUUUUGCAGGGGAAUAAAGUGCAGGACGUGUCCUGUUUUGUAUGUACCCUGAGAAUAAGGAUCGGCUAACUCCGUGCCAGCAGCCGCGGUAAUACGGAGGAUCCGAGCGUUAUCCGGAUUUAUUGGGUUUAAAGGGUGCGUAGGUGGUUUGAUAAGUCAGCGGUGAAAGUUUGCAGCUUAACUGUAAAAAUGCCGUUGAAACUGUCGGACUUGAGUGUAAAUGAGGUAGGCGGAAUGCGUGGUGUAGCGGUGAAAUGCUUAGAUAUCACGAAGAACUCCGAUUG
rnacentral:rRNA from 1 species